AUGAACGCUGACAGAAUGCUUAACACAUGCAAGUCAACUUGAACUUCGGUUUGGGUGGCGGACGGGUGAGUAACGCGUAAAGAACUUGCCUCACAGCUAGGGACAACAUUUGGAAACGAAUGCUAAUACCUGAUAUUAUGAUUUUAGGGCAUCCUAGAAUUAUGAAAGCUAUAUGCGCUGUGAGAGAGCUUUGCGUCCCAUUAGCUAGUUGGAGAGGUAACGGCUCACCAGGGCGAUGAUGGGUAGCCGGCCUGAGAGGGUGAACGGCCACAAGGGGACUGAGACACGGCCCUUACUCCUACGGGAGGCAGCAGUGGGGAAUAUUGGACAAUGGACCAAGAGUCUGAUCCAGCAAUUCUGUGUGCACGAUGAAGUUUUUCGGAAUGUAAAGUGCUUUCAGUUGGGAAGAAAAAAAUGACGGUACCAACAGAAGAAGUGACGGCUAAAUACGUG
rnacentral:rRNA from 1 species